rnacentral:rRNA from 1 species
UUCCGGUUGAUCCUGCCGGACCUGACUGCUAUCGGAUUGAUACUAAGCCAUGCGAGUCAUUGUAGUAAUACAAGGCAGACGGCUCAGUAACGCGUAGUCAACCUGCCCUGUGGACGGGGAUAACCUCGGGAAACUGAGAAUAAUACCCGAUAGAACAUUAUGCCUGGAAUGGUUUAUGUUUCAAAUAAUUUAUUGCCGUAGGAUGGGACUGCGUCCUAUCAGUUUGUUGGUGAGGUAAUGGCCCACCAAGACUGUUACAGGUACGGGCUCUGAGAGGAGUAGCCCGGAGAUGGGUACUGAGACACGGACCCAGGCCCUAUGGGGCGCAGCAGGCGAGAAAACUUUGCAAUGUGCGAAAGCACGACAAGGUUAAUCCGAGUGGUUUCUGCUAAAGGAACCUUUUGUCAGUCCUAGAAACACUGAUGAAUAAGGGGUGGGCAAGUUCUGGUGUCAGCCGCCGCGGUAAAACCAGCACCUCAAGUGGUCAGGAUGAUUAUUGGGCCUAAAGCAUCCGUAGCCUGCUUUGUAAGUUUUCGGUUAAAUCCAUACGCUCAACGUAUGGGCUGCCGGGAAUACUGCAAAGCUAGGGAGUGGGAGAGGUAGACGGUACUCGGUAGGAAGGGGUAAAAUCCUUUGAUCUAUUGAUGACCACCUGUGGCGAAGGCGGUCUACCAGAACACGUCCGACGGUGAGGGAUGAAAGCUGGGGGAGCAAACCGGAUUAGAUACCCGGGUAGUCCCAGCUGUAAACUAUGCAAACUCAGUGAUGCAUUGGCUUGAUGCCUAUGCAGUGCUGCAGGGAAGCCGUUAAGUUUGCCGCCUGGGAAGUACGUACGCAAGUAUGAAACUUAAAGGAAUUGGCGGGGGAGCACCACAAGGGGUGAAGCCUGCGGUUCAAUUGGAUUCAACGCCGGG